GCUGAGGAGUGCCAUUCUGAAAAAAUAUUACAACGCUUUAUUAGCUGUGUCCACAGCCUUUGGCGUUGUUGUAGAGGCUGUAGCAGUAUUUAUUGUGGUGUUCAGCAGACGAAUACAUCGCCAGUGUGUUGGAGGAACUCGUGCUAACAUUGAAUCGCCCUCUCACAAUACGUACGACGACUUGGCACAAAGAUCAAUGAAUCCCAGCCACUAUGACUCCCUGCCAAUGUCAACCAUUGGACAACAGGGACGUUAAUAAAAUGUAAACGAACGUCAUCUCAAUGAGUGAUCGGCACUUACAAAUCUGUGGACUUUUCCGCUCCCGGUGUAAACAUUUUUUAUAACAUUUAGUAGUUUUGAAAUGAGUCAGAUUAAAAUAUCUUCUUAAAAUAUCUGAAAUCUCGUUAUCAUAAAGCUGUGUCAUCAUAUUUGUAAUUGUUUACCAGAUUAUGGUCAUUAUACUUAAACCGACUAAUAAAAGCCUAAUACAUUGAAACAGACGAUGAACGUUAAGGAAUAGAACAAUUGCGAAGCUAAUGUUCCGCGAGUCUGAUGCCGACAUUACUUCACGUUGCCAUACAAUUACAUGUACCGAAACGCGUUUACUUUUUGUCUACUUGAUUCACACAUAUAAAUAAUCGAGUUUUAUCUAGUUAAAUGUUGUUUAAUCCAAAUUCCAUACAAUGUGAUUGUAGGCAGCUUGGCAAUAAUAAUAUUUGUAUCGAUGUAAGCAUAAAGAACAAACCAAGGCAUGAAAUUGUUUUACCGUAUAUUAUGUAAAUAUUCUCAUAGUAUC